UGAGCAGCCUGCCCUUGACCCUGGAAUAACAGCUGGAAAUAGCUGCUAAUACCGGAUACGACCUCCGAUGGCAUCAUCUGGAGGUGGAAAGCUCCGGCGGUCAAGGAUGGGCUCGCGGCCUAUCAGCUUGUUGGUGAGGUAACGGCUCACCAAGGCUUCGACGGGUAGCCGGCCUGAGAGGGCGACCGGCCACACUGGGACUGAGACACGGCCCAGACCUCGUACGGGA
rnacentral:rRNA from 1 species